rnacentral:rRNA from 1 species
AUUGAACGCUGGCGGCAGGCCUAACACAUGCAAGUCGAGCGGUAGCACAGAGAGCUUGCUCUCGGGUGACGAGUGGCGGACGGGUGAGUAAUGUCUGGGAAACUGCCCGAUGGAGGGGGAUAACUACUGGAAACGGUAGCUAAUACCGCAUAACGUCGCAAGACCAAAGUGGGGGACCUUCGGGCCUCACACCAUCGGAUGUGCCCAGAUGGGAUUAGCUAGUAGGUGGGGUAAUGGCUCACCUAGGCGACGAUCCCUAGCUGGUCUGAGAGGAUGACCAGCCACACUGGAACUGAGACACGGUCCAGACUCCUACGGGAGGCAGCAGUGGGGAAUAUUGCACAAUGGGCGCAAGCCUGAUGCAGCCAUGCCGCGUGUAUGAAGAAGGCCUUCGGGUUGUAAAGUACUUUCAGCGGGGAGGAAGGCGGUGGAGUUAAUAACUUCACCGAUUGACGUUACCCGCAGAAGAAGCACCGGCUAACUCCGUGCCAGCCGCCGCCGUAA